UAUAAUGACAAUUAUAUAAAUAAAUUUUUUUAUGUGUAUAUAUAAAGAUGAAAAAUAUUAUGCAUUCUCCCCGUAUCUCGCCAGCUCAAAUGUGCCGUCCAUCUCUUCAUCGACACCUAAUUUUCAAACAAGAGCCUCUAUAUAGUCGCACACCCGCCAUACACCUUUUUCUGCCUCAUCGGUUCAGCUCUAGGAUUCCCAGAUCUACCCUUCAUGGAUUUCCCUUCGAUCUUUUGGAUUCCAGCUCCACCUAGAUCGCUCUGCGAUCUUUAUCCUGAUAUCAGACUUGACAAUCGAAGUUCAACACCGUGAUUUCACGGUCUGUUGUCUUAUUUGAUCGGAGAUCGCUCCUGAGAUACGGCGGAGCUCUGUUUCGAAAGCUCUAGUUCUCAAAGGAUAUAUCCAGUUGGUGUAUGAGCAGCGGAUUAUUCGAGAUUUCAUAUGAAGGUGGGGGCGAUAGAGCAAUCACAGAAUCUCUGUUGCUUGAUGAUGUGACCGUGGGCUGUGAUUUUGUUGAUUGAUUAAGGAGUGAUGGAAGGAGAUAGGGGGUGGAGUUAGUGUGGUUUAUUUAUGAGGAUGAUGUAUAAGAUAUAUAUAUCGGGACUAGAAGGCCAGGAGGCUGAGAGGUCUUGUUUAUUAUCUUUGUCAUCCGACCUUUGCCAUGACAGCCUGAGAUCACGCGGCCCCUUCACGAGGAACUCCAACUCCAGCUUAGCUACCAGUUCAUCAAUUGCACAAUAUUGCAAUUUGUGAGGCUGACUCGAAAGGUAUUCUCUCACUUAUAUCUCCAAUGCGAAUUUCCUUAAUUUUUAGAAUCAAUCAAUCAGUCAUACCUACAUAACUUAGAAUCAGUCAUUUGCAAGAGAUCAUGAUUGUGACUUGGGUUAUUCGUUGCUUACCGGUAUUUGAUCCAAUCCAAUGUUCAUGUAGAUAAUAUGGGAUCCCUAAGAGAUUGCGCAUCUAAAACUAGUUUCAGCUUUGGAAAUUAACGGUUCUUGGAAAAAAACGCCACACACACAACACACAUCCUGGAAAUUGAUUUUGAUAUUUUAUCGUGAUAACUCUAGUCUCCGAUCAGGAGUUUUUGCUUGCACCAAGCAUCUGUUCAUUCUAACGCCCCACUAUAACUAGUAAUCAUUCUUUCCCGACAGUGCAGGUUCAUUUCAUUUUCAAAUGCCUUGAAAUGCAAAUCAUAUUAUAUUUUGUAUCCACUGAAUCUGUCAGAUUUGCCAUUACAGUGCUGACCUGGGCAUGAGUUUUAUUACUAGAUCUAGUUUCUCAAUUUCUAGCUCUUAUGAUACUCUAAAAUCCCAGUUCCUUUCUUAAUCAGGUCCUUUUUACUACCAUAAUUGUGGUUGCAAUUAUGUAUUAUGGAAUAUUGUGCUCUUGAUAUCCUUGUAAAACCUGUGCUCAUGGAUGAUGCUGGUGUUUUGUACUUUGCAAUUGGCUCUGUUGUUUGGUUCCUUGGGUUUUAAGUGAUUUAGCCUUCGGAUGGUGGUUUGGAGCCGCCUGACUUCCAUAACCAUGGCCUUCAACUCUCUCAGCUGUGCCAGCUCAGCAGGUCUUCACGACAUUCUCAAUUGAGCUGUCCAUGCUUCGCCAACGAUUUAGGUGAUCAAGUUAUUAUUCAAUGGUUCGCUCUUAAAUAAAUAACUCAAUAUGAUUUUAUCACCCAGUUACAUUAGUUUUGAAUUGUUUCAUCAUUCUGCGUAAUUCGUUACGUUAUGUUUAAUUCCUUACUGUUUGCCGGGGGAGAUGAAUUUCAUAUUGUUAAUUCAUGAUGGUAGCAGAAGGUUUCUUGUUUUCUCAUGUGUUAAUGGUAUUUCGAUAUUUGAAGUAAUUUAUCACUGAACAAUUUGAAGUUCUUACUGUUUAAAUAUGGCCCUUAAUUUGGUCUUAUCAAAUAUUGUUUGCUUUCAUGACUCAAACCAUUUCUAACCAAAUUCAAAGCUCAUUGAUGUUUUUGAAAUGGUUCAAAUAACGGAACAGAACAAUGACCACGUGGACCCUCGUCCACCAUGAUUUCUUGAAGAAAUGGUAUUACAAAGUCUUGAAGAAAUAGAAUAGGCAGAAAAAGAAAUUGAAAAAUAGCAUGGCUAACGUAAAAUCGCGCCUGCGGUUUUUUAAAAUUUGUCGGUGAAAACUAUGAUAUUUUAAAUAAUUUGUGAAAUAGGCUACAAUAAAUUUCAAACAGGGGAGAGAUUAUGGGUGCAUCGAAGCUUUAAUGAUGGCUGCUUCGAACAUGAGAAAGGUUAUUUAUUGAAAAGAGCUCUUUGAACAUCAAGUAAAAGUUAAGAGACGAUGAUCGGUGAAAUUCAAACUUGUUUAGAGAUGGUGGAUGUUUAUUUGGCUUUAGGCAAUGUGUGUGGAUCAUUCGGGAUUUUUGUCUUCAAGUUAUUUUCUUGAUCCUGAGGUAUGUUUCAAUAUCGUUCUCUUGUUAAAUCUUUAUUAUUUGGAAUUUGUAGCAAUCUAUUUUUAUUAUUUUUCUAAAUAUUGUAAUUUCUAAUUGUGGUUUUUUGAAAUGCAUGGGAAUUGAAAUAUAUUUUUUUCAAUUUUUUUCGCUUGUAUUAGUGUGUUUUUUUUUAUAAAACAAUUAGCUAUUAUAUAUACAUAUUCUCAUAUGUUAAAUUUAUAUAAUAGUUUCCAUAAACACAACAUGCUUUAUAAAGGCUUUCUUUAUCGAAGUUUACCUGGGCUACCAGCUAGUUUACUUUCUAUUUUUUUAUCUAAAAUUUGAAGGCUGCAACAAUAUUGUUGAAGUCAGUAAAAUCUAAAUUGUUGCGGUAAUUAUGUUGCUGUCACUAUUGAGUGGUAGUUAUGUUGGUGUAUUUUUUUUCCCUCGUCAUGCCAUGACAUUUGCUGUAACAAAGAGAAAUGUGUUUGUUUUAAUAAAUUUUUAAUUGUGCUAUUUUUUUAAAAUGCGACGUGCUAGUUCUAAAACCAUGAUUAUGGGUAGGUUGUUCAAGGGAAAUAAUGUACAUAUGAACAUUGCAAGCAUAUCUUAUUUUUCUCGUAUUUUAAUUUUUUUUAUUGAUUUGUUUUUUAAUUUGAUGAUUUUGAAUAUAUUUUUAUAAUUUGUUAUGUUUGUUUUCUAUUGAAGUUAUAGUGGUCAAACAUAUUGAUAUUUGAUCAAUACUUAAUUUUACAAGUAUUUGUUUUAUUAUCAUGUAAUUAAGUAAAAUAGAAUUUUAAAAAAUAAAAUUAUUAAACCUAGUGGCUUACAUAUGGAGUUGAUUCAAUAUCAUUUUGGAAGUUUAUUUUUUUAAAAAACUAAUCCAUGUUUUUACUAUUAAUCCUAAUAGUUUUUAGACUUGACAAGUUGAUUGAGUCAUCUUGAAAUAUUUUAAUAUUAGCAAAAAAAAAAAAGAUAGUGUAUUUUUUUUUAAAAACCAAAUUAUAUUUUUUUUGCAGUCAUUUAAUUUUUUUUAGGUCAAAUUAACCACUUAACCAAGUUAAGGGAAUUUUUACAUGGUUUAGUGUCUUUCUCAAAGUGAUCUUUAGAAAUGUUUCAAAAUAAUUAUUUUAGAUUUUUUUUAUAAUAAUUCAUUAAGGAUUAAAAAAACAUCAAUUUAAUUUUUUAAAAAGUAAAUACACUAAAAAUGCAGUUGGAAACACAUUCUAAAUAGACACUUUAUUCAAAACUUGAGUUAGUCAACAAAAGUUUUUAAUAUUGACUUGUUUAGCUAGAUUUAAUAAAAAAAAUCUUUAACAUGACUAGAAGACUAAACUAGUGCCUCUUUAAAUAAUUUGGUAUCCAACUCUUUGAAUUUCAAUUGUCUCGAGUCAUAUGGAAAAACUUGGUUCUUCUGUUAGAAUAUUUAUUCACGCAACAGCAUGCACGAAUGUGCGUAUUAUUGUAAAUUGUACAGCAAUGCAGAAUCUUUACUUCAUUUUUUUUAACGCUUUGUUUGAUUCAGAGUCAAUUUUAAUGAUGCCUCUUGAUGAAAAGGUGAAAUAUAAAAGACUUGUGAGGUUGAUCUAAUGUGGGUUAAUGCAGACAAUUUGUUUUAUCAGUUGCCUGCCCAUUCUUUUUAUCAAUCCAUGAGGUUCUGUUCCGACUUCAAAAUAAAAAUAAAAAUUAGGAGUGAUGGUGGACUUUUAGGUACAAUAUUUUUUUUUAAACAGUGAAUGAUUCUUCUUGUCCCUUAUUCGAGUCCAUUCUUCUUUGAUGUCCACAAGAUCUAUAAGCUCAUAAUGGAAGAGCGCUCGUUAUCCCAUCAUGGGGUUUUGAGAGGUCCAAACUACACACUAAAUGAAGUAGCAAUGGGCUUUGGACAACACAAGGUUCAAAGUUGCCUGACAUGGGUAUUGUGGCAAAGUCUCGGAGUAGAGUUUGCUAAAGAGAGGCUUAAUUGCUAUUUUACCCUUUGUUAGUAACUUGAAGUAGUUUGGCCUAAAAUAACCCAGUUCCUUUUACCUA